rnacentral:SRP_RNA from 1 species
GCCAGGCACAGUGGCACGUGCCUGUAGUCCCAGCUACUCCAGAGGCUGAGGUGGGAGGACUGCUUGAGCCCAGGAGUUCUGAGCUGUAGUGCGCCAUGCCAAUUGGGUGACCGCACUAAGUUCAGCAUCAAUAUGGUGAUGUCCCAGGGGAGGGGCACCACCAGGUUGCCUAAGGAGGGGUGAAUCGGUCAGAAAUGGAGCAGGUCAAAACUCCCUUGCUGAUCAGUAGUGGGAUCAUGCCUGUGAAUUGCCACUGUACUCCAGCCUGGGCAACAUAGUGAGAUCCUCUCUCU